rnacentral:rRNA from 1 species
ACGGAAGGCAGCAGUGAGGAAUAUUGGUCAAUGGAGGCAACUCUGAACCAGCCAUCUCGCGUGAAGGAAUACGGCCCUAUGGGUCUUAAACUUCUUUUAUAGGGGGAUAAAGUGAGGCAUGUAUGCCUUUUUGUAGGUACCCUAUGAAUAAGCAUCGGCUAACUCCGUGCCAGCAGCCGCGGUAAUACGGAGGAUGCGAGCGUUAUCCGGAUUUAUUGGGUUUAAAGGGUGCGCAGGCGGCACGUUAAGUCAGCGGUGAAAUGCAGGGGCUCAACCCCGGCACUGCCGUUGAAACUGGCGAGCUCGAGUACGGAUGAAGUCGGCGGAAUGUGAUGUGUAGCGGUGAAAUGCUUAGAUAUGCCACAGAACUCCGGUAGCGAAGGCAGCUCGCCAGGCCUGCAUUGACGCUCAGGCACGAAAGCGUGGGGAUCGAACAGGAUUAGAUACCCUGGUA